AUUGAGAAACACGGGAGUCGGAAUGUGGGCGGCUCUAGAAAGGUGCUUUUAGUUCUAUGUGACAAAUCGACCUGCAAGUUUCUAGUCAGUUGUGAGAAAGUCAAGGUGCCGAGAAGAGUUUCACGUGUUUUGAUUGACUACUGAAAGAAACAGAGUAUACCGGACGAGAGAAAUUCAUUAUCAAUGAACCUGUAUAGGAAUUUUGGGAAUCUUCUGGAGAGUUGGGUGACUGAAGGCUCCCAGGAUUUAUACUUACAGCCUGGACCUGGUGUGGACAGAUUAGAUUCCAUUUAUAGGGACUCUGUCCCACUAUCUAAUAUAAAAUCAGAAUCUGAGGACUCCGGAUUUGAAACGGUUAGUACAACUAGUCCUUGUCAUUCUCACCAGUGUAGUGCUUUGACAUCUGAAGAAUCAAAGCCAGUUUUUGGCUCUACAGAGAAUGAGGUUCAACCUUCAUCCCCGUCUCCUUCUAUUUGCUCAUCCUCAUCCUCAAGUGUUGAUCUCAGCUCUGUGGCUCUAAAAACAACACAUCUGGAGGUGGAGCAAGUCUUGAGAAGGACCGAAUCAGGCUCAUGGAGAGGACCCCUGCACCACGUUGAAAGAGGGACCGCUGGGCCACGGUAUCGCUCUAACACGGCCUCUUUUCCAACCAGCUUUCACUCAAACAGCUCCAGACCACAUCAUCGGUUUGCUCGUCCAAGGAGAACUCAUUCACAACCUCCAGAUUCCAAGAAAGCAGAGCUGUACAGAAAAUACCUAAAGUCAGACCAACAUGGCCAACCAGCAGACAGCCAGUUGGAGCUUGCAGACAGUGAUCAUUACAGACUGGACAAGCUGUCUCCAGGGUUGCUGUACCUGGAGCAGGUGUGCAGGAUGCUGGAGAACGUUGCAAAGCUACAGCAGCAAAACUACAGCCUGCAGAAAGAGGUGGAGAUCCUGAAGAGUCAGCAUGCAGAAAAAGAGCUUGGAAGCUUUCAUGUGGAGGAAAUAAGCUAUCCUGCCAGUCAAGGUUUACAGAUUCUGGGUCAUGAAGAUCCACCCAGCGAAUCGUCUCACCUAAAAGAACCCAUGGGUUUUCGUCACAGAUCAGUAUCUGACACUCAGGCAGCUGUCGGCCAUCACAGGAGAACAAGGUUUGUUCGAGACAAACCUAUUGUAGAUGUCUUAGUCGAAGAACCUGAUGGUAAAGAUCCUUUACUGGAAAAUGAGCACAAAAAGCCGAGUAAGAUCCAAAAGCUGAAAUUUGCAUCAUUUAGAAGACAGGAAACACAACAGUCUGACAGAGAAAGCAAAAGCUUUCAGCCUAAGAAGAAAACAAGAAUGCCAAGCUUUUUCAGUAGGAGUAGAAGUAUGACGACACGUCUCUAACAUUCAUGCCUCAUUGAUGCACAGUGAUGGUGGUGAUUCACACCUCCCAUUUUCCUGAGGAUUAUGGCACUUUUAUAUGUAUAGUUGUUUUAGUCUAGUAUUUAAGGCUGCACUUAAAUAAAGUACUGAGUAGUACUAAUAGUCUUCA
ensembl:lncRNA